rnacentral:rRNA from 1 species
AGCGAACGCUGGCGGCAGGCUUAACACAUGCAAGUCGAACGGGCACUUCGGUGCUAGUGGCAGACGGGUGAGUAACGCGUGGGAACGUGCCUUUCGGUUCGGACUAAUCCAGGGAAACUUGGACUAAUACCGGAUACGCACUUCGGGGGAAAGAUUUGUCGCCGAAAGAUCGGCCCGCGUCUGAUUAGCUAGUUGGUGAGGUAAAGGCUCACCAAGGCGACGAUCAGUAGCUGGUCUGAGAGGAUGAUCAGCCACACUGGGACUGAGACACGGCCCAGACUCCUACGGGAGGCAGCAGUGGGGAAUAGUGGACAAUGGGCGAAAGCCUGAUCCAGCCAUGCCGCGUGAGUGAUGAAGGCCUUAGGGUUGUAAAACUCUUUUGUCCGGGAAGAUAAUGACUGUACCUGAAGAAUAAGCCCCGGCUAACUUCGUGCCAGCCGCCGCAGUAAAAC